AGUAAAAAGAGACUUUUAGUGUCUUUUGCGUUUGGUUUUGAACUUUCACUUGUUAAUAAUUUCCCCUUGAAGUUAUUAACAAAUGAAACUGCUCAAUGAGCAGCUGUGUCUAAUCGCAACUUUAACUUACUCAAGACAACUGACCAAAGCCACUCACCUACUUCGAAGUCCUCAAAAAUUUCAAUUUAGAACUGCAUAUGUUAGAUAUUUCGAAGGAUUCGAGGAACGUUGUGUGCUUUUGGUCAUUUGUUUUAAUUUAAGUCAAAUUUCUUAUAAAAUGCUUAAUUUUUCUUCGUACCUGCGACAUAGACAUAUAAACAUGUCUCAUUCUUACCGAGAAACCAUGGUGGCUGUCCUUCUACAUUAAGUAUAAAACAAGUGACUUCCAAUGGCAGUUCCUCUUUUAUAAUAUAAAAGAUAAUUGUAUAGUAAUCAAUUAAGGAAACCUCUUUUGUUCUUCUUAAUUGAUUCUGACUUGCCCACUUGGUUGGUCUUUUAUUAUUUCAUACAUUUGUAUUAAUUAAUUUAUUUUAUUAUUGUGUAAGUUUAACAUUAACGCGAAAUUCUUAUUUUUUUAAAUCGACUUUUUAUAAAAGGUGUAGCAGAUUAAAGUAAUUGCCUUUUGAAUUCCCUUUCCGAAUACAACAUAUUCGCAAAGAGUAUUUAGAGGGCAAUCUUUUCACCAUAAUUCACCUUAAUUAAAAAGUCGAUUUAAAAAAAUCAAAAUUUCGUGGCUUUAUUAGAAUUAAUGCUUUCAAUGCCUACGUAAAAAAAAUCGAAUUUUUUAAAGCAAACCGCAAAGGUAAUAUAAGUCGGUAUAAUUAUAAAUAAGCCUUGCUCCUUUAAGGGAAGUUUAUUUAUUUUUGUACCUAAAUAUAUUAUCGUUUGCAUUAAUAAACAUUCGAAGUGUUUUGCAAUGUACCUUUAGGUACUAAGUUUUUUAACAAAACAAAUCGUAUGUUGUUUAAGUAAAUACAUCGAAACAAUGUUAAUAAAUAGCAAAUAUUUGAACCGAUUCUAUUUUAUUUCGUCUAAUUUUGAUAAAAAAAAAAAGAUCGCAUUCAAUUUUUAUUUAGUACCAAGAAAUCACAUCAAAAACAGCGUGCGUAGAAAUUACUAAUGCAAUUUCGGAGCAUGUAGUGGCACUCACUGACGCGUGCGCCAUUUACAAUAUAACAAUUCCGCGAAACGAAGCGUGUUUUCGGCAGGUAAGAAAUUAAAUAUUCUUAAUUAAAAAUUUUUGCUGGAACUAAUGCAAUUGUCGGAAACUUAUCAUUAAAUAUAGCAGAAUACGAUGUGCGUAUUAGUUUUUCCGAGCAUUAACCUCUUUUCUUGGUAUUUUGAUAGUACCACCCCAAAUUAACAACGAGCUAUUUCUCAAAUUUUCUUUAAAAAAUGCGAUGAUUUCGUAUGAUUUGACCAAAUUUGUUAAACAAUCGACUUUUUACGAUAUUUUGACGUGAAUUAAGUCGUUUUUGUACUUUCAGAAAAUAUCUUUACGAGAUACAAGAAAAUUGAAAGUGGUUUGGGCCCCCUUUUUAUUAGUAUUAAGUCGUUGUACUACAUUGUCUGAACCAUUUUAACAACAUUACGAGUGAUGUUUAGAAACAUACAUCAUUUUUUGGAUAAAAAAAGGUUCUUUUACCAAAAUGGACAGGUUCGACUUGGAUCGAAAGGAAAUGGUUGAUGAUAUUUUAAUAAGCUAGUGAUCCCUUGGUCUCUCCUUCUAUAAUGUAAAAUAGCAAUGUUUGACUAUUUUUUGCAAUAACAUUAAGUUCAGAAUGACACACGAUUGAUAUCUAAUGAACCAAAAAGGGGAUUCCCAAAUUAUUAUGGACUUGGCAAGAUUUCAACAAAAGAGUUACAGUUGCAUCUAUAUAUGAAGACCAAGAAGAUAAUUCAAAAACGGAACUGUUAUGUAUUGGAAUCGAAUUUGUCCGUACGUCAUGUUGAUACUUUCGUGAAGAUUUGGUAUGUGAUAAUGACAGUGAUAGAAUGGCUUACUCGAUGGAUUUCCCCUCCGCUCAGUCUCUGGCACCUUCCUACCUUACCUACCUACCCUACCAUCCACCACCAUCAUUCAUCACGGAGAGGAUGAGGAUCGUGGACAUCCGACGCUGGAUAGAUUAAGGUUUCGGUGAACCCUACUGAGGUCUAGCCGACGCCUAAAAGUAAGUCACUAAUGAAUAUUGUUUCAAAUAGACCCGAGUGCAAGUUUUUAUAUUUCCAUUUGUAUUUGUAUUUUUUGAUUUUUAUUACUUUGGGGCUAAUUUGAUUUUUGCACCCAAUAAGGUGGCUUACAAACGGUAAGUUAGCGUAUUAUUGGGCUCCUCUGGUGGUCCAUUGCCAUAUUAUCCAAUUGAGUCGCUCCGCGUGCUAGGGACCGACGUGUGCAGGCACGGCGCCUGUAUUACGUCAAACUUUGAUUCUUAAUACUUGGAUUACUUAUGUGAUUAUUAGUUGCUGCCUUAGGUCCUUUACGCCGUAUUAUUAUCUACAAGACAUACCUACCUACCGUAUUUAUUGUUGCUUUUUAGGGAUGUGACGUUAGGACACGGAGAACAUUUAAAAUUGUGAUUACCUUAUUUCAAUGCAUACCUACAUACAUGGUGUUUUGUCCACGCUGUCUUUUCGGGGUUUGGUUCCACGUACACCUACAUAUACCAUAAAUAAUAUUAUUUACACUUUUAUUUUAUGUGUAUGUUUACUUGUCACUCAUUGGGUCUAUUUGAUAUUUUUUCAGCUAGUGUAUUUACAAUAGUGUAGUGAGGAAGGAGGAAGACAGCGAAAAGUGUUGCGCGUCAAGGUAUAGUGCAUUACCUAUACCUUCUUCUGGCAUAACAGUGGCGGCGGCUCGCGAAUCGGUUUAAGGUUGGCGCCAAUUCCAAUUUAUUUAAAUUCAUUAAAUUUUUAAUGUUGCCAGUAAAUUGUUCGUUUUUAAUAACUCAUUUGAUAUUUUGUGAAAUUUUAAUUUGAAAUUAAGGGGAAAAUGAAUAACGUCUCAUCUACCGCAUAAAUAUAGGUGAAAAUUUUUCGAAAGGAAAAAAUCGUAUUAUUCAUCUUCUCCUUAAUUUAGUAAAUUUUUAAAACUUCAAUUCAGGGUAUCUGCCGUUAUCACUUGGUGAAACAUGAUUGAAAAUUAAAAAUUAAGUCAAAAAAGGAGUAACAAAAACCAUACUAAUUAACAAACAGUAAAUAAAUUAAUUUAUAUAUUAGACCCAAACAUUGUUCAACCCCCACCCACCCUCUUAGGAAUAAAUCUCUAUAAAUUAAUUUAUUUCCUGUUUGUUAAUUAGUAUAGUUUUUGUUACUCCUGAAGAUACGUAUCGAGGUUUUAAUAAAGUUUUAAGUGAAAGUCCCAAGUUUUUUGAUUUAAUUUUUAAUUUUUAACUUCAAUUCAAUUGCCAUAAUUAAAUGUUAAUUGUAGGUACUAUUUUCCAAAUUUACUAUUUAUUUUUUUCUUUUGCGCUCGAGUACCUACCUACAGGUAGCCAGCCAGGUAAUAAGCGUUCGUCCAAUGGGCAUGUAGGAGUGAUUACUAAUUUUUAAUUUAGGUACUUGAUUUCUAUGAUGAUGAAUAAAAAAGAAACACUUUUAUGGAUUUUUCUCUAACGUGUAUUUCGGCUGUAAUGAUAUCAUCAAAGAGUUAAUAUUCUCAACUGGAGUUAUUAGCACUUUGACGAUGGAUAUUUUAGAGUGAAAUCUAAAAAAUAAUUUAGUGAAACAUAUAAACCAAGCAAGCAAGGUUUCUUUUUUAUUCAUCGUAUUCAUUCAUAGUAUUAAAAAGCGAUCGUCUUCGGCUUACCACAAUUUCGACUAUUACAUAAUGUCGUUCUCGUCCAACACGAAUUACGCCACUGUUGCCACCACAUUUACAAUGCUUAACGGCACACAGGAUUUCUUUUCAUAUUCCAUUCUCAAUUUACAUUUUGUCGUUUUAAUGUUUUUUUUCAAUUACGAAAUUUCAUUUAUUUUACUGCUGCACAUCUAAAAUCUUAGUUCUUUCAAAGCAAAUAUACAUGUCACAAAUUAGAAAUACAUAACUUUCGAAUUUUAUCACUGGGUGCCUACAUAAAUUUCGUUAAGCUUAAAAUCAAGGAGUGGGAAUAUAAGUAUGUUGGUAAUGAAGUAAGUACGUACUACCACCCUAUCAGUGGGUGGGGUAUCAAUAAUAUAUUAUAUGUUUUACCUUUUACUAAUCUUGUAUCUUCGAUUCUGUUUCAGCAUGACCGGUAAGUGAAGUACUUUACAUCCAACCAAAUAUCUUUUUAAACGAUGAUACUAACAAUUUUACCUAUUUUCUUUUUCAGGUUUCCGUGGGUCAAUCUUUCUCUUCUCGCUUGGGAAGAGAAAGAAGAACAUCGAUCGAUUAAAACAACCAAACAUGAUCACACAUAUCGUUAACAUCGCGAUCGAAGUGUAUCCGUCACGUUAUUGUUUAGUUGGGGUGUUCGUUGUUUGAUGAAAAUGUUUGUUCUCCAUCCACUUAAAAACUAUAAAUAUCUCCUUUUAAUAUUGUCGUGGUUCUGUUGUCUCGACUUCGUUUUCUCCACUCUUCUUCGUUAGAAAAUCAUAAUGAUUGAUAAGUAUCUGUCUUGGAGGCAACAGUCUGCUCAGUUCAAUACAAACUUGGUGGAGGGUCAAUUUUUUGCGGUAUUUGCGAUCCAUCCCAAUGAGACUUUUAGCGCAAUGGCAAGCGAAACCCACUACACCCAAAUGUUUCGUUAGUGGUUUUCCCUUUUCAUUUUUCGUGUCGUUUUUGGAUCGAGUGAAAUGCGGGUUGGUGUUAGUGUUAAUAGGAAGAAGAUUAAGAUUGGUGUCCGCAGAGACACCAUCGGGUAAAUAAACAGAAUGGGUAAAAUGUGCCUUCGGGCAUGUACAGGUACACGUUUGAGAGUAUGUUUUAGGAACAGGACGCAAAUAGAAUAGAUCCCUAAAGUUGUACGAUUACAGUUUAGAUGAUCGGGACGAGGAGGGUAAAAAAAUAGCACGUCGAAGAUAAAUUCCUACCUAUUAUGUAUGUUGGGGUUUUGAUUUUGGUGUAAGUGCUAAUAGGAAGAAGGCUAGUGUCAGCAGAGACACCAGGUCUAUAUAAGCGCAAGAAGUAAUGUGCCUUUGUGCAGGACAUGUUUGAUAGUAUGUUUUAGGAACCAGAAGGAAACAAAAACAUGGAGCUGUACGAUUAUGAUUUCCAACAUUAUUGGAGUCGCUGUUAACUCUAAUUUAUUUUGUGUCUUUUGCUUUAAGUUCUUUUCAGUCCCCGCACGAGGUAACCCUGUUACCGAAUAGUCCUUCGGACGCUAAGCAUCAUAUGUUGACGUUAGGGCUUGAGCUGUUUGUAUUUCAGAAACAUGGUACAUAGGUAUAGAUAUGGUUUGUAUUUGGCGAUAAAGUACCAAUACCAAGUUAUAUUACAGCCGGUGGGACGCAUUAAGCCGUUUGGUUGCUUGCUUCACCCACUGGGUGUUUUUAUUUCUUUUUAACUAACCUUUUGUCUUAGCAUCCAUUUCACAGGUACGAAAGACAUGUUGAGGCCCGCAAAACAGUUGAUGAGUUUGCGGGGGUGGUGGAGGGUCUCAACGCACUAGGAGGAGUUGGUGAUGUAGGUACGUCGUGUUUGUCAGGGUUCUAAAAUGUAGAGUUAUCAAGAAAACCAUCGUUUUGUAAGUCCCAUGUAUGCCAUUACCACUACCGUCCCAGGAGUGUCUCCACCAGUUGGGACGAUGACCAGGUUUACUUCAAUAAAUGGGAUGAAUUAUGAGAAAGGUACUACUACCUUCUUCAUUCACUGGUGGGUGUUCCUAAUUGUUUCUAAUUGCAACCUCUUCAUCCAGAAUCGAACGUGGAAUUAUGAGAGAAUGUGUUGAGGCCCGCAAAACAGUUGAUGAGUUUGCGGGGGUGGUGGGGGGUUCUCAACCAACCAGGAGGAGUGUUGGGGAUGUAGGUACGGUGGAACAUUUCACUACUCCGAACUUUUGUUCAUAAUUACGUCGUGUUUGUCAGGGUUCUAAAAUGUAGAGUUAUCAAGAAAAUCAUCGAUUUGUAAGUCCCAUGUAUGCCAUUACCACUACCGUCCCAGGAGUGUCUCCACCAGUUGGGAGGAUGAUCAGGUUUACUUCAAUGAAUGGGAUGAAUUAUGAGAAAGGUACUACUACCUUCUUCAUUCACCGGUGCGUGUUCCUAAUUGUUUCUAAUUGCAACCUCUUCAUCCAGAAUCGAACGUGGAAUUAUGAGAGAAUGUGUUGAGGCCCGCAAAACAGUUGAUGAGUUUGCGGGGGUGGUGGGGGGUUCUCAACCAACCAGGAGGAUUGUUGGGGAUGUAGGGUUCUAAAAUGUAGAGUUAACAAGAAAACCACUGAUUGACAAGUCCAAUGUAUAUUACCUUCCUAGGAAUACUUCCAGCAGUUUGAAAG
rnacentral:lncRNA from 1 species